AUUGUUCUGUAGUUCAUAAGCACGAUGAUUGAGUUUUCAUGCUCAUGUGUGAGACGUGAUUCACUCCAAUCUUGUUAUAGUGUUAGCACAUUACCUAUCUGAUA
rfam:Callithrix jacchus chromosome 12, whole genome shotgun sequence